UAAAAGAAGUAGAAAAGUUAGUAGCUCCAGAAAGAAAAGAUGCAGCUAUUCCCCAGUAGUCAGAAAGGCGAAUAACAUUUUGCCAUUUCGGAUAGGCAACAAUAACAGAAGGACAAGGCCAGAUGUAUAACAGGGGAGGGCGCAGGGGGGCAGGCGCACUUCUGCCUCGCUUUUGGUUGGAGUGGAGAUUGGGGACCCGAGCUCGCUGGUGACGUAGAUCUCACGUGACCAGGAGUCGACGUGUACCGAAGUCCUGCUAGUCUGGUCCUUGUUCGCGUCUGGGUAUCACCUUUUCUUUAGCAGGCAAACCGCAGAGCCUGAGGGCAGUGGAAAGAGGAGUUAACUUGACGGAAUUCUGCAGGUCUGUUAUUGUUAGCACUACACAAGGCUAGAAGAGGCAAGGAAGAAACUGUUCAGAUCAGUACAGGGUGAGUGAUCUCUCCCAGAAGACUGGUGACAGGCCCUCCUCACCAGUUCCACAGAUGCCUCUAGACCUGGAUGAAGCAGGCACUAGACUCUCCUUUGCUGAUGACCAGGCUGUCCUGGAUAUACUUACCUGGAGGAUGACAAAAGUCCCUAUGGCAGGCAAAAUCUCUGCACCUGGACUCUGGAUCUGGGAGUGAGGACAAUGGCAUUCUUCUUUCAGAAUGACACUUCUGCUUUAGGAGCUAAUGUCUCAGUGGAGAUAGAAAGGAAACAGCAGCCUGAGGUUCUCUCAGCAGCCUGAGGCUUACUUUUCAUAGUGUGAAACCAUACCUUGAGCCAAGCCAAAAGCAAAUAGGGCACCUGUAUUCUCAAUCGUGUCACACCCACGGGACAACCCCCAUUCCAUCAGUGAGGGCUGGUUGGAAGGAGAGAGCACUCCCCUCUCAACUGCACUCACCUGGAGAUUCUCACAGUGAACACUCUAGAAUAUCCCCUUUUUAUAAUUUUCACCAGUUUCACUGGAGAGUAGGUCACCAGAGCUCUUCAUGCUGUCAUGCCAGAAACUGACCUUCUACACAUUGCUUCUUCCUGGAAAACUUCCCUGGGAACUGGAUUAAGUCCUCAUACUCAGGGUUCCAACUGCCCCUUCAGUACUUACUACACUUUUCCUCUGGCUUCCUCCCAUUAAAUCAUGAACUCCAAAAGAAUAUAAAGGCUAUAUCUACUGUGUUCUCUUUUAUAUCUCCAGGGCCUUGCCUAGCACAUAGUAGAUGCUCAAUAAAUUAUGGUUGCACUGGGGUGCCUGGGCGGCUCAGUUGGUUAAUUGUCCAACUCUUUAUCUUGGCU